CGGCAUUGAGUGCUUGCACUCUUUGGACGUCGACCGGCGCACGGGUGAGUAACGCGUAUUCCAACCUUCCCAUUACUGUGGGAUAACCUGCCGAAAGGCAGACUAAUACCGCAUAGUCUUCGAUGACGGCAUCAGAUUUGAAGUAAAGAUUUAUCGGUAAUGGAUGGGGAUGCGUCUGAUUAGCUUGUUGGCGGGGUAACGGCCCACCAAGGCUACGAUCAGUAGGGGUUCUGAGAGGAAGGUCCCCACAUUGGAACUGAGACACGGUCCAAACUCCUACGGGAGGCAGCAGUGGGGAAUAUUGGACAAUGGACCGGGAGUCUGAUCCAGCAAUUCUGUGUGCACGAUGAAGUUUUUCGGAAUGUAAAGUGCUUUCAGUUGGGAAGAAAGAAAUGACGGUACCAACAGAAGAAGUGACGGCUAAAUACGUGCCAGCAGCCGCGGUAAUACGUAUGUCACGAGCGUUAUCCGGAUUUAUUGGGCGUAAAGCGCGUCUAGGUGGUUAUAUAAGUCUGAUGUGAAAAUGCAGGGCUCAACUCUGUAUUGCGUUGGAAACUGUAUAACUAGAGUACUGGAGAGGUAAGCGGAACUACAAGUGUAGAGGUGAAAUUCGUAGAUAUUUGUAGGAAUGCCGAUGGGGAAGCCAGCUUACUGGACAGAUACUGACGCUGAAGCGCGAAAGCGUGGGUAGCAAACAGGAUUAGAUACCCUGGUAGUCCACGCUGUAAACGAUGAUUACUAGGUGUUGGGGGUCGAACCUCAGCGCCCAAGCAAACGCGAUAAGUAAUCCGCCUGGGGAGUACGUACGCAAGUAUGAAACUCAAAGGAAUUGACGGC
rnacentral:rRNA from 1 species